rnacentral:lncRNA from 1 species
AAGUGAAAGAAGCCAGGCGCAAGAGAGUGUGAGCUGCCUCGUUCCAUUUAUUCCAAGUUCUAGAACAGGAAAAACUAACCUGUAGUGAGAGAAGGCCUAGGGUGGUGUGUAGGGGGCUGGCUGCAAAGAGGCACAACAGAUCGUUUUUGGGGAGGGUGAAAUGCUGUGUGUCUUGAUUCAGGAGAUGGUUUCAAAGGUGUACACAUCACUGAACUGUACAUUUAAAAUGUAUGUAUGUAAAUUAUACCUCAAUAAAGUCAUUUUUUAAAGGUGAGGUAUUUUGGGGUUUUCUUAACUUCCCUUUAAAACUUGUAAUGUUGCUGGGCGCAGUGGCUCACGCCUGUAAUUCCAGCACUUUCGGAGGCUGAGGCAGGCAGAUCACCUGAGGUCGGGAGUUCGAGACCAGCCUGAUCAACAUGGAGAAACCCUAUCUCUACUAAAACUGGGCAAAAAUAGCGAAACUCCAUGUCAAAAAAAGUAAAUAAAUAAAAUAAAAUAAAACAAAACUUGUAAUGUUUAUACUUAAAAUAGCAUUAUCCAAUUUUCCUCUAUAAAUACUAUAAGUAAAUCAUAUUACGGAAAUGCCGUGUACCAACUACCACAAGCAAGCACAUCUGGUUCCUACCUUCGCGUUUCAUCUUUAGGGACACCUACUAGAAAGUGGAGUUUUACUUGAAUGCCCUUGGAUUUCUAUUCCAAGCAUGGUUCUAUGUUAACUUUUAAGAAAUGGAAUCAUUGAUAAAGUUAACAAGGCAGAAGAAAAAGCUCUAAGAAACCAAAGAAAAAUUGGCAUAGUUACCAUGUGUCUCAGGGCUGGAGGACCACCUGGCCUUGCUGGCCUCUUACACCAGAGCCUGGGCCAUAGCUCAUAAUUUUGCUGAUAUUGGCAUCUUUUAACUUUGGAGUGUUUUUAAAAAUCAGUUACUAUAACAAGCUCUCAUUAAAAUUUAUUUUUCAGCCAGGCACGGUGGCUCUGUAAUCCCAGCUACUCGGGAGGCUAAGGCAGGAGAAUUGUUUGAACCCAGGAGGCGGAGGUUGCAGUGAGCCAAGAUGGUGCCAUUGCACUGCAGCCUGGGCAACAAGAGCAAAAAAAAACCUCCGUCAAUUCGAGACCAGCCUGACCAACAUGGAGAAACGCCAUCUCUACUAAAAAUAUAAAAUUAGCCGGGCAUGGUGGCACAUGCCUGUAAUCUCAGAUACUCAAGAGGCUGAGGCAGGAGAAUCACUUGAACCCGGGAGGCAGAGGUUUUGUAUUUUUAGUAGAGACGGGGUUUGCAUUAAGGGGAUGGUGUUAGACCAUUACUGAGAAACCGCCCCCAUGACCUGGUCACCUCCCACCAGGCACCACCUCCAACAGUGGGGAUUACAAUCUGAUGUGGGAUUUGAUGGGGAAACAUAUCCAUAUUACAAAGAUAGUACAGGGAGUUCCCUCAUACCUCACACUCAGUUUGCCUUCUUACCAUCUUACAUUAGUCUGAUACAUUGUCACAACUGAUGAAUCAGUAUGGAUACAUUAUUAUUAAUCUAGGUCCACUGUUUAGUGCAAUUUCCUUAGUUUUUCCUUAACAUCUUUUCCUGUUCCGAGAUCCUAUCCAGCAUAUCCCAUUACAUUUUGUCAUCCUUUCUCCUGUAGGCUCCAUUUGGACAUGACACGUUCUCAGACUUUCCUUGUU